AUAGUACUCCCUCCAUUCUGAAUUAUUUGUCGCAGAUAUGGAUGUAUCUAGAUGUAUUUUAGUUCUAGAUGCAUCCAUUUCUGCGACCAGUAAUUUGGAACGGAGGGAGUAUUAA
rfam:Triticum aestivum genome assembly, contig: Triticum_aestivum_CS42_TGACv1_scaffold_290302_4AL